UACGGAGGAUGCAAGCGUUAUCCGGAUUUAUUAGGUAUAAAGGGUGCGUAGGCGGACCUGUUAGUCAGUGGUGAAAUACUGCGGCUUAACCGUAGAACUGCCAUUGAUACUGCAGGUCUUGAGUACAGUUGAGGUAGGCGGAAUGUGUGGUGUAGCGGUGAAAUGCUUAGAUAUCACACAGAACACCGAUUGCGAAGGCAGCUUACUAAGUUGUAACUGACGCUGAUGCACGAAAGCAUGGGGAGCAAACAGGAUUAGAUACCCUGGUAGUCCAUGCCGUAAACGAUGAUCACUCGCUGUAUGUCCAUUAGGAUAUGUGGCUGAGCUAACGCAUUAAGUGAUCCACCUGGGGAGUACGGCGGCAACGCUGAA
rnacentral:rRNA from 1 species